rnacentral:lncRNA from 1 species
GGCGCAGCGGCCCCGCGAGCAGACGCGCAGUGUCUUUCAGAUUUCCAAGUCUCUUCUGGUGUGCUGAGGUAUAUUUCAAUGUCUUCUCUCCGCUGAGGAUGACAGGGAGGACUCACGUAGCCACAUUGGCAAUGUUCUUUCAGAAGCACUAUUUGGGAACCUUGGAGCCUCUGGAAGAUGAACACCAUACCAUCCACAAUGUCAGGAUGAAAGUAGCUUCACUUCCCUGGGGUUCACGCCGUGGACAGUGCAACCUUCAGAUGCAAGGCUGAGCAUGAUUCAUUUAAAUCCCACCUGGAACUAUUCAAACAGUUUCUGCUAUUUCUCUGGCACUGGGAAUUCACUGGAAUAGCAAAGGACAACCCAGACCCCUGAGAGGAGAAGGUGAUCAAGCAGCACCGGUGACAGCAUUCAGCUGAUAAAUCUCUUGACCCUGGAAAAAAUUCAUGGAACUUGGUAAAUUUGUUUCAACUUUUCUCUCUUCAUGUUGGGAACCCAUGACAUAGGAUGUGUCAGUCAAAGCAUUUCUUCCCCUGGCUACAUUGAUUAGUUCAUAAGCACACCAGGCUCUAAGAAGGAAUGAAUCUCAGGACUCUUGCUUGGAGUGCUGGGAUAAAGGCCCUCCCUCUUUUUCAAGAUGAAAUAUGCAAAGUGAAGUAUGCAGAUAGCAGGACCAGAACUUCUGCAGCCAUUUUGGCACCAAGAGGGUGGCUUUGUCCCAGGACAAAGCUGACACAUGAAAGAGUCCAAAGGCCAGAGGCAUGCUGAGAAAUUUGUAGAGAUAUUCAUGUUGAACAUUGAACCUCUGGGUACAGCUGUAGCUAAAGCUGAAACUAUUGCUGGCCUUUUCACUUUGGUGGAACCAUACAUUUUAAAAAUGGUUAUGACAGUUAGGGUUGGGUUUUAUGUUAACUUAAAAUUGAAAAUAUUGUGACUCUAUGAGCUAGCUUUUAUUGCAUAAUAAAGCAAUCCCAAACUCAAUGGCUUAUUAAAAAAUAAAUAAAAUACUUCAUUCACAU